rnacentral:rRNA from 1 species
AUUGAACGCUGGCGGCAUGCCUUACACAUGCAAGUCGAACGGUAACGCGGGGCAACCUGGCGACGAGUGGCGAACGGGUGAGUAAUGCAUCGGAACGUGCCCAGUAGUGGGGGAUAGCCCGGCGAAAGCCGGAUUAAUACCGCAUACGACCUACGGGUGAAAGGGGGGGAUCGCAAGACCUCUCGCUAUUGGAGCGGCCGAUGUCAGGUUGGGUUGUUGGUGGGGUAAAGGCCUACCAAGCCGACGAUCUGUAGCUGGUCUGAGAGGACGACCAGCCACACUGGGCUUGAGACACGGCCCAGACUCCUACGGGAGGCAGCAGUGGGGAAUUUUGGACAAUGGGCGAAAGCCUGAUCCAGCCAUGCCGCGUGCGGGAAGAAGGCCUUCGGGUUGUAAACUGCUUUUGUACAGAACGAAAAGGUUUCUACUAAUACUAGGAGCUCAUGACGGUACUGUAAGAAUAAGCACCGGCUAACUACGUGCCAGCCGCCGCCAUAA